GCGCCUGUAGCUCAGUCGGAUAGAGCAACGGCCUUCUAAGCCGUGGGUCGGGGGUUCGAAUCCCUUCAGGCGUACCA
rnacentral:tRNA from 1 species